rnacentral:rRNA from 1 species
AACGAACGCUGGCGGCAUGCCUAACACAUGCAAGUCGAACGAGACCUUCGGGUCUAGUGGCGCACGGGUGCGUAACGCGUGGGAACCUGCCCUUAGGUUCGGAAUAACUCCCCGAAAGGGGUGCUAAUACCGGAUAAUGUCUUCGGACCAAGGAUUUAUCGCCUUUGGAUGGGCCCGCGUUGGAUUAGGUAGUUGUUAGGGUAAAAGCCUAACAGGGCGACGAUCCAUAGCUGGUCUGAGAGGAGGACCAGCCACACUGGGACUGAGACACGGCCCAGACUCCGACGGGAGGCAGCAGUGGGGAAUAUUGGACAAGGGGCGAAAGCCUGAGCCAGCGAUGCCGCGUGAGUGAUGAAGGCGGUAGGGUUGUAAAGCUCUUUUACCCGGGAUGAUAAUGACAGUACCGGGAGAAUAAGCUCCGGCUAACUCCG